rnacentral:rRNA from 1 species
UACGUAGGGACCAAGCGUUGUUCGGAUUUACUGGGCGUAAAGGGCGCGUAGGCGGCAUGACAAGUCACUUGUGAAAUCUCUGGGCUUAACUCAGAACGGCCAAGUGAUACUGUCGCGCUAGAGUGCAGAAAGGGCAAUCGGAAUUCUUGGUGUAGCGGUGAAAUGCGUAGAUAUCGGGAGGAACACCAAUGGCGAAGGCAGCUCGCUGGGACGGUACUGACGCUGAGGCGCGAAAGCGUGGGGAGCAAACAGG